rnacentral:lncRNA from 1 species
GAGAAGAAACGGCGGAGACCUGAGACCCGGAGGCUGAGGCUGUAGGUGGGCUCCGCUGGGUAAAAGUUGCCGCAGCAGCUGUCCCUUGGCCCCAUCGCGAUUUAUUUUUCCCCCUUGCUUUCCGGGUCCCGGGAUCCCAAGUUUGUAACUAACGGGAGCGAAUCCACACCCGAGCAAAAUGUUUGCGAGUUUCAGGCGCCCUUAGUUGAAAGGCUGUAAUUAACAAGUCCGCUGUUUGCCAGCCAGGCGCCGUUGCAGGCGCUUUCUGUGGAUUGUCAUUUAUUUCUCACAGCAACCCUAGGAGAUGAAAUUGAAUCAUGGAAGAAUGCCUUUAUCUGAGGAGUCAUCACCACUAGGGAGCUAUGGAGGGCAGUUCAUCUGCACAUGGUCUCUUGCCUGCUGCCAUGGAAGAUAUGCCUUUGUUCCUCCUUCACCUUCCAUCAUGAUUGUGAGGCCUCCCCAGUCAUGUGGAGCUGCUGUUAUCCUUGACAUCUGCAGCAGCCCUUCCAAGCUGUGGAGACCAGGUCAUCUGGAAUGCCCAUUUAUGUCAAUGGAAGAAAGAAAAAGGGGUCUCCUCCCAUCCUCACCACUGCAUUCUCCCACCAACCCUGCUCCUGUCCCACUUCCCACAACUCAGUUGUUGACAAUUUAACAGUGGGUUUCUGGAAACA